AAAAAUUAUUGGCUAAGAUCAAGUGUAGUAUCUGUUCUUAUCAGUUUAAUAUCUGAUACGUCCUCUAUCCGAGGACAUUAUAUUAAAUGGAUUUUUGGAGCUGGGAGUCGGAAUAGGGGCUAAAAAAAAUUAUU
rfam:Erinaceus europaeus unplaced genomic scaffold scaffold00495, whole genome shotgun sequence